rnacentral:rRNA from 1 species
UACGAAGGGUGCAAGCGUUACUCGGAAUUACUGGGCGUAAAGGGUGCGUAGGUGGUCGAGUAAGUCUGAUGUGAAAUCUUCGAGCUCAACCCGAAAAUGGCAUUGGAUACUAUUCGGCUGGAGGGUUGGAAGGGGGACUGGAAUUCUCGGUGUAGCAGUGAAAUGCGUAGAUAUCGAGAGGAACACCGGUGGCGAAGGCGAGUCCCUGGACAAUCCCUGACACUGAGGCACGAAAGCUAGGGGAGCAAACAGG